GACGAACGCUGGCGGCGUGCUUAACACAUGCAAGUGGAGCGACGAACCGGGGCUUGCCCCGGGGCAGAGCCGCGAACGGGUGAGUAACACGUGGGUUACCUACCCCAAUGACCGGGACAACCCGAGGAAACUCGGGCUAAUACCGGAUGUGGUCUUCGGACGAAAGGAAGCUUCGGCCUCCGCAUUGGGAUGGGCCCGCGGCGCAUUAGCUUGUUGGUGGGGUAACGGCCUACCAAGGCGACGAUGCGUAGCNGGUCUGAGAGGACGAUCAGCCACACUGGGACUGAGACACGGCCCAGACUCCUACGGGAGGCAGCAGUGGGGAAUCUUGCGCAAUGCGCGAAAGCGUGACGCAGCAACGCCGCGUGGGGAAGAAGGCCUCGG
rnacentral:rRNA from 1 species